UAACGAUACGGGACUCAUCCGAGGCCCCGUAAUCGGAAUGAGUACACUUUAAAUCCUUUAACAAGGAUCCAUUGGAGGGCAAGUCUGGUGCCAGCAGCCGCGGUAAUUCCAGCUCCAAUAGCGUAUAUUAAAGUUGUUGCGGUUAAAAAGCUCGUAGUUGAAUUUGUGUGCCACGCUGUUGGUUCAUCGCUCGCGAUGUUUAACUGACAUGAUUGUGGGACGUCCUACCGGUGGGCUUAGCCUUUCGGGGCGGUCCAGCUAAUAUCCCAUCGCGGUGCUCUUGAUUGAGUGUCGAGGUGGGCCGGUACGUUUACUUUGAACAAAUUAGAGUGCUCAAAGCAGGCUAUGUUUGCCUGAAUACUGUGUGCAUGGAAUAAUGGAAUAGGACCUCGGUUCUAUUUUGUUGGUUUUCGGAGCCCCGAGGUAAUGAUUAAUAGGGACAGAUGGGGGCAUUCGUAUUGCGACGUUAGAGGUGAAAUUCUUGGAUCGUCGCAAGACGAACAGAAGCGAAAGCAUUUGCCAAAAAUGUUUUCAUUAAUCAAGAACGAAAGUUAGAGGUUCGAAGGCGAUCAGAUACCGCCCUAGUUCUAACCAUAAACGAUGCCAGCUAGCGAUCCGCCGAAGUUCCUCCGAUGACUCGGCGGGCAGCUUCCGGGAAACCAAAGCUUUUGGGUUCCGGGGGAAGUAUGGUUGCAAAGCUGAAACUUAAAGGAAUUGACGGAAGGGCACCACCAGGAGUGGAGCCUGCGGCUUAAUUUGACUCAACAC
rnacentral:rRNA from 1 species